AGAGAUGACACACUAUACCCAAUGUUAAUUUUUCAACUUGCACAAUUUGAAAAUUGAUCAAAAUAAAUUAACUUAUGAUAUUUAGUAUUGACAUCAGGAAAAAGCUUAGCAUAGUAGUAGGUAUAUGAUAUUUAGUAUUGACAUCAGGAAAAAGCUUAGCAUAAUAGUAGGUGUUAAAUACUGUCGACAACUUCUUCAUUAUUAUCCUCCUCGGUCUUCUGUGUGAUUCUUCCAUUGUCACACAAUAUUCAC
rnacentral:lncRNA from 1 species